CCUACGGGGGGCAGCAGUGAGGAAUAUUGGUCAAUGGACGAGAGUCUGAACCAGCCAAGUAGCGUGAAGGAUGACUGCCCUAUGGGCGGUAAACUUCUUUUAUAUGGGAAUAAAACGUUCCACGUGUGGGAUUUUGUAUGUACCAUAUGAAUAAGGAUCGGCUAACUCCGUGCCAGCAGCCGCGGUAAUACGGAGGAUCCGAGCGUUAUCCGGAUUUAUUGGGUUUAAAGGGAGCGUAGGUGGAUUGUUAAGUCAGUUGUGAAAGUUUGCGGCUCAACCGUAAAAUUGCAUUUGAAACUGGCAGUCUUGAGUACAGUAGAGGAGAGCGGAAUUCGUGGUGUAGCGGUGAAAUGCUUAGAUAUCACGAAGAACUCCGAUUGCGAAGGCAGUUCACUGGACUGCAACUGACACUGAGGCUCGAAAGUGUGGGUAGCAAACAGGAUUAGAUACCCCAGUAGUC
rnacentral:rRNA from 1 species